CCGGGCUGGAUGGCAGCCUCGGGAACAGGGAUGCGGGACCUCUAGGGAGAAACCGUGGCUCGCGGCUGAUGGACUCGCAUCUCCCCCCUCCCCCGACAAAGGCCGUUAAGUUGUAAGUACACUUCCACGCACCUGUUUCUUUUACCGCCCUCCCCCCCUUUUCUUUCUUUCUCUUUGUUUUAGGCUGCCAAGUGGGAAGCUGGCAGGGCUGACAGUGUCCGCAGAGCCCGGGGAAGGGCUACUCGGAGCUGGGCUGCAGCUGCAACCUCCCGCUGUCCCUCUAGCUCGAGAUGGUGUGUGAUCGGAAACCAUCCAGCGCGAGGCAGCCAGACUGCCGAGCGAGUGCCCAAGGCAUUGUGGGAGUCAUGAUUCCAAGAGGCCCGCGAUUUAAAAUUGAACUUGUCAGUUCCCGGUCACGGGAGCAUUGUGAGCGCCACAACUCAUUCAGCUGCAGUGAAAAGACUGUUGCAUGUCGCUGUGCAGCCUCUUAUCGCCGAGGUCUGGUUUCCGCUGCUGCUGCGCGGCCCCUCCCCCGCCGGCCCAGCCCCACCAGGAAGCCCUGGGCGGACUCCGCGAGCCCCGGAACGCACGCGGCGACAGAAAAAAAAAAAAUGCUCUUCAACUUUCCGCCGCCCGGCGGCUCAGCCCCCCGCCACCUCGCCACCCCUCAAUCUAACAAGAGUCCGCCGGGGGUGGCGGUUGCCACUCGCCCAUCGGCGCAGAAAGCAAAAGGAAACCCGAGCCGGCGCUGGCGCGGUGCAUCCCCGCCGCCUCCCGGUGGUAUCUUCCAUCUUAUACGUUCAACACUGUAACCUCCGAGCUAUAGUGCCCACGGGACGCACCCCUGCUACUUUCUGAUCCUUGAGACUGGCUGGGCAGACAGAUAGGUUCGUAUUUGAAAGAGGCGGGUGGAUGGGGCUUGGUAAGGCCGUCGGCAAGGUUAGACUGAAGGUGAGUCUCCAAAACUGGAUAAAACAGUAGGAGCUGGUGGGGCUGGCCGCCUUAAAAUGCACCACGCAGAUUUCGAACCUGGAUGGCCCAUAGACGGGAAAAACAUCCGCAAGACUGCCAGUGUGUAUCUUUCUCCAGGAACAGGGUGUCCACGGUUUGGGAAUUCUACGGUAAAACUGUCACACAAGCACGAAUACUCACAUACUAGCUUCCCAUCUACUUUGUAAAUAAUAUUUGGACUGUAAAACCCCCUUUCACCCCAACUCUGUAUUAUAUGAUAUAUAGAAAGCAGAGACUCCUCCUUCCUUAUACAAUAUUCAUUUUCUGAAAUACUAGAAUCGUCCGAGGCAAAUAAGUCAUAUUAUUGCUGGAACAAAAGAAAACACAGCCCCAAAUCAUAAUUCACUGGGUGUUAAUGAGAUUUAACUUGCCUUCACUUUGAACGGAAAGAAUCCUGGACUAUUGUGAUGUGAUCAAGUUUUAAAGAUUUGGGGGGCAGAAUUUACUUAGGAUUUAGGGAAUAAUUAUUCAACGGUGAUUACAAUUUUUAAACUUUUUUCUAUGUUUUGAAUACAGUUUAGGAGCAAACGCUACCUAUCGUGUGAUGUUUCUACAAGUUUGUUAGGUUGUUUUAAAGAUGGUGGGGACGGCUGAAGGAGGAGAAGGAAAAGCAUCGUGAAAGGUGCCGAAGUACAAAACUACUUCUAGAGGUAUUAAUAAUGACUUGAGUUCUCUACUCUUGGCUACAUCCACAAAACACUGAGUUAAUAUUGUGUACUGCUCCCUUCCAGAACAAAUACUUUAAUUAAUUAGAUGGUGCCGCUUCUCAGUAUUAAUCAUGAAAAAGUACCCAAGUGCACACCCAGUGGAAGCAAAUUUAAAAGGAAACCGACACUUUCUCAAAGGACAGGGAUGGGCAUUCUCUAUCUGCCAAUUAGGAGCUACCCCAAGCAAUGAGGACUUCCUUUCUUCUAAUUCAGCAUUCAUUUCAACAACUACAUCAAUAGCCUGCUAUGCCAGAGAUUCAAGAAUGGAUAACAACAUAGAGUCCCUCCCCUCAAGAAUACCUCUACUAGGGAAGAGACUGGAGAAAAGACAAAUUAAUUAAUUCUGGCUGAAGGAUAAAUGCUAAAAUGAUGGGAGGCAAGACCAAGGUGCUUUCAAGUAGAGUCAAGAAGGCUUCCUGGAGGGGUUGUUUUAACAGGUGCCUUAAAGGGGGGUAUAGAAAUUAUCAAGAUGCAUAGAGAGGUGAAUCCAGGUUCUGUGGGAAAAGAGCCUGGCAAAUACAAUGGAACUGCUAGUCUUGGGGUUAGAAGUGAGCUGGAUACUUGUAGGAGAGUGGCAGCAAAGUGAACUAAAAGUAGGUCUGUAUUCACCCAAGGAGUCUCAGCUUUACUCUGAAAACUGUAAUAAUCUAGAUGAGUUUAAUCAGCAAAGAGAUAGGUUGAAUUUGGACUUGUAUUUCAGAGGGAUCCUGUGGCAGCAGCUUGGAGAGUGAAUGGGAGUGUGGGGUGGAGGCUGAUGGAAGAAGGGUGAAUGGGUGUGGACAGACUGGAAAAAUGACUCAUGCAGGGAAUGAGGAAGGGAGGAGCCUUGGGAGACUCCCAAGUCCCUGGCUUAACCUACUGGAUUGUUUGCUACUUGCUUUUUAAUUUUGCCUCCAUUCUCCAUGACAACAGAGACUGACUUCAGAGCUGGGCCACCUGUGCAUGUGCUAGCAGGUUGGAGGCCUUGUCGGCUUCCACACGCCUCUCCUCAGAAUGACCAGUGAACCGCCAAGGGCUAAUCCCAGUUGUAGGAACUUCUUUUCAAUUGUUCUCAGACCCUUGCAGACUUCCAAGUCAGAGCUUUGGUGUUCUUUUUUCAUGUGGGCUAGAAAAUUUGCUGUUUGGAGCAACAUGAUGAAAAACAAGACUUUGAACCUGUGUAUGGUGCCAGAGGGGAAACUAUUUUUCCACUUCAACACUGGAGGAGGGGGAAGUUCUGGGAACAAAAGAGAAAUUGAAACUGAGACAAAUUUUCUGCUCCACUGCACAGAAUACAAAGAAAUACAAGAAAGACCCUUAAGUGUUAGGAACAGUAGAAUAAACAUCCUAGUAAAUGACAAAGAAGAGGGAAAAAAUGUUAUUCACACUAGUAAAGGAAAAAGGGGUGGCUAAGAAAACUCAUACAAAGCAGUUUUCAACCCAGGACUCCAAAGUGAGUCCAAAUAAAUUGUGAUAUAAAACUUCAUUAUCACUGGUCUAGCUUAAUUUAUUGUCAUUGAUAAUACCAUAACAUGAAUAAUGACAUUUAACAUUUCGAAGCAGUGUAGCAAACACCAGAUCCUAUGUUAAAAAUAUUAAAUCAUAUGGCCAGCUUUCACUACCAGUAGCAUGCUAACCACAUUUCAAAUUGUGAAAAUUAUUAAAAAAUCAUUAUCGUAAUAAAAAGUAAAUAGUUCCCCAUUUAGAAUACCAAUCAUAUUCCCUCAGUGCUAGGAUAGCAUUAUGGUUUCUCUUACAUCUAUGAAGUGUAGUUAUAGUCCAUAGGCUCAAGAGUGAGUGCAUCUAUAAGUAUAAAAAGAAUGUCAUUUGUGGGUGGAGAGGGAAAUUAUAGAGAACAAUUUUAGAUGAAAUAAAACUACAUGUUAAGAUAAAGGAAAGAAUAUUCACUGCAGGUUUCUGAAAUAUUUUAGACCAUUCAAGUUUUAAUUAUACCAAUGAAUCCCCGUAGAAAUACAGUUAAGGAAUAUGGUUUUUAGAGAUAACAUUAACUACCUGGUUUACCAAUAAAAUAGAUAAAGGAAACAGUAGCAUUGAUCUUUUUCAUUCAAGUGGGAAUCUUUACAGCACUGUGUAAAUGUGUGUGUACAAAUUGUAUGUUUCUUGUCAUACACACCACAUUUAUAUAAAGUAAGCUCUCAUAGCCGUCUAAAUAUUAUUUCCUUUUUCUGCAUCGUCCCCCUCAACUCAUCAUCUAAAUGAAAAUACCCUUAGAAGUUACGCUCUUUAAACUCGAAUUAUGAAAAGGUCUUGAAUCACAGAUCUAGGAAUGCUGUUUGUAUUAUUCUGAAGUAAAAAUAAUCCAUUGGAAGAUAGUGUCAAAACUAAGAUUCAAAUUCGGGCACCGUGAUUUUUAACCCAUGUUUAAAUAUAGAUGGUUAAGAGAAGCUGCUGGAAGGCAAUGAAGAAUUGGAAACACUCCCAUAUGGUGAAUCCAUUUUAAGUAUAUGCAUUAAAUGUAUCUCCAUUCAGUUUUACAGCAGGGAAGAGGGUUGAAGCAUUUUUCUGUAGCCUGGAUUCUAACCUGUUUAGGUAUCUGAAUAAAUAUAUUAAUAUUUGAUAGAGUUAUAUGAAUUUAGUUACCUAAAUUUAGUUUAGGAUUUUUAUAUAUUGCACAUAUAAGUAAGUUUUAAAAAUCAUACCUAGUAUUUAAAUAUUAAAAAUAUAUAUUCUAUUAUAUAUUAUGUGUAUGUAUAGUAUGUUAUGUAAUAGGACAUAUUACAUAUAUAUACCACUUAAUAUACAAAUCACAUAAAUGUAAAAACAUUAUAUCAAUUCAAUGUACUUGUCUUACAAUGUACGUAAAUAUUAAAACUGAGUUAAAAUAUUAAUUUUAUUAUGCAUUUUUUUUGGCAUCCCUGGGUAGGCAUGAACCAAAUGUGCAUUUUUCAG
ensembl:lncRNA